rnacentral:tRNA from 3 species
UUGCGGAUUAGCUCAGUUGGUAGUAGCGCAUGACUGUUAAUCAUGAUGUCGUCAGUUCGAGUCUGACAUCCGCAGUCC